ensembl:snRNA U6 U6 spliceosomal RNA
GCUACUCACUCAGGUAGCACAUAUAAAAAAAUCUGGAAUGAUACAGAGAAGAUUAACAUGGCCACUGCGUAAGGAUCACAUGCAAAUUCAUGAAUUGUUCCAUAUAUUU